rnacentral:rRNA from 1 species
UUGGAGGGCAAGUCUGGUGCCAGCAGCCGCGGUAAUUCCAGCUCCAAUAGCGUAUAUUAAAGUUGUUGCAGUUAAAAAGCUCGUAGUUGAACUUCGGGAUCAAUGGAUUGGUCAUGCCGUUGGUAUGUACUGGUCAUAUUGGUUCUCACCUUCUAAGGAACCAUAAUGUCAUUCAUUUGAUGUUUUGGGGAAUUAGGACUGUUACCUUGAAAAAAUUAGAGUGUUUAAAGCAAGCUUACGCUUGAAUACAUUAGCAUGGAAUAAUGAAAUAGGACAUCAGAUUCUAUUUUGUUGGUUUCUAGGAUCGAUGUAAUGAUUAAUAGGGAUAGUUGGGGGCAUUAGUAUUCAAUUGUCAGAGGUGAAAUUCUUGGAUUUAUUGAAGACUAACUACUGCGAAAGCAUUUGCCAAGGAUGUUUUCAUUAAUCAAGAACGAAAGUUAGGGGAUCGAAGACGAUCAGAUACCGUCGUAGUCUUAACCAUAAACUAUGCCGACUAGGGAUCGGAUGAUGUUAAUUUUUUAAUGACUCAUUCGGCGCCUUACGGGAAAC